AUUGAACGCUGGCGGCAUGCCUUACACAUGCAAGUCGAACGGCAGCACGGGUGCUUGCACCUGGUGGCAAGUGGCGAACGGGUGAGUAAUACAUCGGAACAUGUCCUGUAGUGGGGGAUAGCCCGGCGAAAGCCGGAUUAAUACCGCAUACGAUCUACGGAUGAAAGCGGGGGACCUUCGGGCCUCGCGCUAUAGGGUUGGCCGAUGGCUGAUUAGCUAGUUGGUGGGGUAAAGGCCUACCAAGGCGACGAUCAGUAGCUGGUCUGAGAGGACGACCAGCCACACUGGGACUGAGACACGGCCCAGACUCCUACGGGAGGCAGCAGUGGGGAAUUUUGGACAAUGGGCGAAAGCCUGAUCCAGCAAUGCCGCGUGUGUGAAGAAGGCCUUCGGGUUGUAAAGCACUUUUGUCCGGAAAGAAAUCCUUGGCCCUAAUACGGUCGGGGGAUGACGGUACCGGAAGAAUAAGCACCGGCUAACUACGUG
rnacentral:rRNA from 1 species